rnacentral:lncRNA from 1 species
GAGUUGGUUUACCCACUAAUGCAUUGGAAUCACUAAAAAUCUCUCACUGUUCCAAGCUAGAGUUUCUCCUACCUGUGUUGUUGAGAUGCCACCACCCUUUCCUCGAAAAUAUAUACAUCAGAGAUAACACCUAUGAUUCUCUUUCAUUAUCCUUCUCCUUAAGCAUCUUUCCAAGAUUGCGUUGUUUUGAAAUCAGUAAGCUUCAGGGGCUUGAAUUCCUCUAUAUCUCCGUUUCAGAGGGAGAUCCCACAUCUCUUAAUUCUUUGAAUAUCUCACGGUGCCCUGAUGUUGUAUAUAUUGAAUUGCCGGCUCUCGACCUAGCAAGUUAUGAGAUCUCCGGAUGCUUGAAGCUCAAGUUAUUGAAACACACCCUCUCAACUUUGCGGUGUUUGAGGUUAUUUCAUUGUCCAGAAUUGUUGUUUCAGAGGGAUGGCUUGCCCUCUAACCUACGUGAACUUGAAAUUUCAUCCUGCGACCAACUCACAUCUCAGGUGGACUGGGGUUUGCAAAGAUUGGCCUCUCUUACAAGAUUCAAUAUCAGGGGUGGAUGCCAAGAUGUUCAUUCUCUUCCCUGGGAGUGUCUACUGCCCUCCACAAUUACCACUCUCAGAAUUGAACAACUUCCAAACCUCAAGUCUCUGGACAGUAAGGGGCUUCAACAACUUACCUCUCUCUCAAACUUAUACAUUGGCGACUGCCCUGAGUUCCAAUCCUUUGGAGAAGAGGGGCUUCAACAUCUCACCUCCCUCACAACAUUAUCCAUUAGAAAUUGUUCUGAGUUGCAAUCCUUUGGAGAAGAGGGGCUUCAACAUCUCACCUCCCUCGUAACAUUAUCCAUUAGCAGUUGUUCUGAGUUCCAAUCCUUUGGAGAAGAGGGGCUUCAACAUCUUACCUCCCUCAUAACAUUAUCCAUUAGCAAUUGUUCUGAGCUCCAAUCCUUUGGAGAAGAGGGGCUUCAACAUCUCACCUCACUCAAAACAUUAUCCAUUAGCUGCUGCCCUAAGCUCAAAUCUUUAACAGAAGCAGGUCUUCAACACCUUAGCUCAGUUGAAAAAUUGCAGAUCUCCGACUGCCUGAAGCUUCAAUACCUGACGAAAGAGAGACUGCCAAACUCCCUCUCUCUUCUGGCUGUUGACAAAUGCUCUUUGCUGGAAGGUCGCUGCCAAUUUGAGAAAGGCCAGGAUUGGCAUUAUGUAGCUCACAUUCCACACAUAAUCAUCAACCAUGUGUUAUACUGAUGAAGAUGGAAAUAUAUUAAUGUCAAUCAGGUACUUGUUCCAUACUCAAAAUAACUUCCUUCAAAAUAAAAAACGUUGUGGCAAUUAUUAAGUUUAUGCUUCAAAAUUUCUUAUCAUCUCUAUUGUGCUUCCUUGCUCUCUAUAAGGUUUGAUUGAUUUGGCUAUGGUCAUAAAGGCAUGGUGCCAAGCAGCUCUCAGGGUGUUCUAAGUGACUUGGUCUUCUUGAGCCUCAAUCAUGAUUUAUGGUUAGUGAAAUAUUUUAAUUGCUUUGAUCCUUUGUCAUGAGUUAUUAUGGAUUUGUACUUGUAGAGACUUCAUUUUCUACUUCCCGAUGGUCCAACAGUGGAGACCUCACAAGUUUUUCUUAAUCAUGACUGCAUCAUUUUGUGGGUUCUCAUUUGGCUAAUACUUUCCAAUAGUUAAAGCAUUUGUGCAGUGAUGUAUAUCAUGUUCUAUGUCAAUUGACAAUAAAAUUGUUAUAAGGGAUCUUCCAGAUGGAAGGUGGAGUGAGGAAGAUGUCGUUGUUUUAGUGUCUCGGUUCAUUGUUCUUAUUGAACGCAGAGUACCUUAAAGGUACUGCCUGCUCAAAUUUUACUGAGAUUGCUCUGUUUUGGUUGGGCAGUCUGCAAUUACUAGAGACAGUAUUCACUAUGGUUCUACUUGCAAGCAGGGAGAGAUCACCUGAAUGAUAGUUGAUACCGCACCACCAAUUAGCCACUAUCAAAAGGCAAGGAUAUGGGAAUGCGUCUUCUUUGUUAUGUGCUUAGCAAGACUUAUUUCUUUUCUUUGUUUUUUUUUUUCCCCUAAUUUUGAUCUCAUACAGUUCUUGUUUGGUGUUUCUUAGGUCUUGGCUAUGAUCAGAAAUUUCCAUCUACACUAUGUAGCACACCCCACUUUUCAGGACGAGGAGGUCCAUUUAGGCUGUCAUUGUUCAUCUCAGGAGAGUCAGAUGUUUGUUUGAAAAGAAAAAUACCAAAGUUCAGGUGAAGGCCUAUACAUUUGAGAUUCCCAUGAAGAAUGCUGUAAUUCAAUUUGUUCAAUUUUGAGGGCUUUUGUAAUUCUGUUUGCCAUUGUGGUGUUGGUACCAUUUGAAGAGGGUGGUAGACCAUAACUCCCUCAUUCAAGUUUCCAAACUUUGUAUAGGAAAGAUGAUGUUGUGUUGACCUUACUCUCUUCUUCACUUCUUCAUGCAAUGAAAAUUUACUUCUCUUCUAUAUAUGCUCACAGUCUGCUCAAGUUUUUACUUGCAUUAACGAUACUAGCGCUACUCGGUCACCUUAAUAUUGAUCCCCACAUCAACCAUUAGGCCAUUUUCAAUAGGCAAGGAGAUAGGAAUAUAGCACCUUCUGUUGUUUAGGUCAAAAUAUAAUGUCUGCAGUAUGCUUGAUCAUGUUUAUAAAUUGACAUGAUAACCCAAAAGAGUAUUCGAUAUAUUUUUUAUGAUGUAGCCUAGUAUAUGUGUACCUAUCUAAGUAGUUCGAUGUAUAUAUUAAAUAUUCAAAGGAUUUAGAACGUAUGAAGCAAAUAAUUGAAAAAAUUAAGUUACAAGGAUAAUUAUUGGAAAGUGUCUCAAAUUCUUUUUCGAGUCAAUUUAUAAGUCAUUGAUGUUUUUGCAUUAGGACAUAUUCAUGGAAUAGACUUUCUUAUUAUUAUAAAGGUUGAAAUAUCCUAUUGUUAAAUUUUCUUUUAAGCUAUAUUUAUUUCUCGGAAAAUUUGAAGGAAAAUGCAUAGGAAAGAAAAUAGAGAUAAAAAGUAGAAAGAAAGAAAAAGUGAAGAAAAUUAAAAAUAUGAUUUAAAGUCAAUAAAUUAGUUUUUCAAAUUCAUUUAACUUAUUUUUCUCUAUUGUAUGAAGAUUAAAUAAUUAAAAAUGUAUAAAUUUCAAAUUAAAUUUAAUUAUGUUUUGCUUUCUUUCAUAUUUUCUAUGGUGAAAUUAAAAUGAGAAAAUCAUUUUUCUCAACAUGACCUAAUAGUUCCUCAUGGUCCAACUUACAUAAGAGAUAAAUUUUAAUAAAAAACUUUAUCACUUUCAACAAAGUAUUUGAAUACCAAAAUUUCUUAUAGAAAUGGUUAAAAUUAUGCAUUAAUCAACCAACAAUAGUCAUCUAAGAGAGGUGAAUAUAGUGUUAAUCUCUUUUUACACACUAUACAAAAAUGAAUACAAGAGAUAAUUUAAGCAAUAAUAUAAUAAAUAACAAUAAAAGAAACAAUUUAUUAAAAUAAAUAGAUAAGGGAAAAAAAGAAUUUAAACUUAAGAUUUUUAUAGUGGUUUGUUGUAAUCCUACUCAUAUCCACUCUCCUCAAUUUUUAAUCACGAUAAAUGUUCCAUUAAUCUAAGACUUUUUAAAGCUCAAGUCUUUAAACUCUUUAUACUUGGAUUAUGGUUCUAAGAUACCGUGUAAUAACAAAACUUUUAAAGACAAAUUCUCCAAACUUUUUCCUUUGAAUUAUGAUUCCAAAGUACCCUUUCAAGCGAUACCUUGCCCUUGAGUUGUCUAAGUGAUCCCACACUAGUUAAUCCUCAUAAGAUCUACAAUUGAAAGAAGAUUAAUCUUUGUGUACAAUUUUGAUUCAAAUAAAUACAAAGGAAACUAGGAUUGAAGUGCAUCAUAGUGGAUAAGUAAGAUUAUGAAUCAAGGUGCACUCCAAAACACUCAGCGACUGAUGGAUGAUAAUCAAUAUUAGGUUCAUGGAGAGUCAAUAUUAUGCUUUUACGAAGAUAUUACUAUCUAUAUUUUUAUAGUAUGUAUUAACAUAGCUGUAGACCCCCCAUUUGGGGCCAUUCGGGCAGCUGCUCAUUUUGCCACGUGGAAGAGCCUUGCUCCACCACGUGUCUUCUCUUGAGAGGCUGGUGCAGAAUCAGAUGAUGCUUUUAGGAUGCCAAUGGAAGGUUGAAGCAUAUUUUUUUUGUAUAAAAAGACUUAUAGUUUAUGGUUUUAUUAUAAUACUAGCAUUCAUAUUUUACUAAAAAUAAUUUAUUUUUUAAUUUAUUUGUGAUUCUAAAUACUAUUUAUAAAAAAUUCAAGUGUCAACAAAUUUUUACUAUUUCAAGUUUUUCAAUGUUUAAAAGUGAUAUUUAGAUACAUAAUAUAAAUCUAUAUUUUCCGUACAAGAGGUUGUAGCUUUUAUAUAGAAUUUAUUACUUGUUUCUAUUUUUAAAAGCAAAAAUUUUUCUUAAAGAAUAUUUUUAACCUAAGCACUAUUAAUAAAAAUGGUACGAACCGAAAUACUUUAAUUUGAAUUACUCUCAACUUCUUAAUUUAUGUAAAUUAUAAGGGAAAAAACCAAAGUACUAAAUAGAUACAUACCAUACUUCAAAUCUAAGAAGAUAACAAUAUAAUGUGUUGAAAAAGUACAUGUGCGUGUUGGAGUGCUUAUGCAUAAAAUUGUAAUUCUCAUGUUAAAAAAAAGAUUCAAACUUUAUGCACUUUAUAUUGUGUCCAUGGGGCCCAAGCCCCUAUAUCCAAAUGAAAAUUCGAGUUUUUUUAACUUCUAAAGCUACUUUGAGAAAAAAAAUUUAAAAGAUGGUAGUUACAAAACUAAUGACAAAUCGAUGACACUUUUUGUCGUAUCGAAUGUGUCUCUCCAAAAGACAUUUUCCAUAAUUUUCAUAUGAAUGACACUUGAUAAAAAAAAAAUUAAAUUUACAUUGAAGAUGUCUCUUCAAGAGAUAUUUUCCAUAAUUUUAUAAAAUUAAAUUUAUAUUUAAGAGACACUUUUUUACAAUUUUUUUAAAUUAGACAUAUACAUUAAAAAAAUUGAAUAUUUAUUAAAAGUGUAUUUUGAAGAGACAUCUUUCACAAUUUCAUAAAAUUGAAUUCAUAUUAAAAGUGUCUCUUUAAGAAACACUUUUUCACUUCUUUUUUUUUUUUUUUAUCAAUCAUACAUAUUAAAAAAAAUUUGAAUUUUUACUCUCAUAAUUCCACAAAAUCGAAUUUAUACUAAAAGUAUCUCUUCCAAAAUUUUCAUAUUAGUCACACAGUGAAGAAAAUGAAUUUAUACUAAAUGACUUUUUAGGUGACACAUUCCACAAUUCGACAAAACUAAAUUUAUAAUUAAGAUGUCUUUUGAAAAGACAUCUUCCAUGAUUUUCAUACCAGUCACACAAUAAAGAAAAUUAGAUUUAUACUAAAGGUGUUUGUUCAAGAGAUUAAAAACUAAGUUCGAAAAUUUUGGAUCUGCAAAGAAAAUUUUAGGAAUGGGGAUCUAAAGGGACCAAAGAAAUGGAACUUGGUUUCUAUGCCAACAAAGUUAUAAUCAAAAGGUUUUGGAGCGGUUAAUUGAUGUCAAAUAAGUUAUAAUCAAAAGGUUUUGGAGAGGUUAAUUAAGGUGAUCAAAUUGUGAAGGCUAGCUCUCUGUCCCUGGAAGACAGCAGCAAAGACAUAUACUUAGGCUAAUCUACUUCAUGGAACAUUUUAAUUACUCCACUUCUCUUUCAUGACCUUUCAUUCACUUGGACUAGUUCAUCUCUUGCAGCCAAUGCCUAUCUCCUUAUAUUUGUCAAAAUCAGCUUCUCUUGUCUAGCCGACAUUGUUGAAGAUAAGCAACUUGGACUAAUUCAUCUCUUGUAGCCAAUGCCUUUCUCCACUUGCAUGCACAUUAAAUUAGACAUGACUUAAUUACCAGGUCUGUUGAAGAUAAGCAACUUGCCUUCCCUUAACAAUUAUUAUAGGCCGACCUACCUUCAUCCACCACCCCCACUUUCCAUUUAUAUGCCUUUGCUUUCAUAUUCUUACCCCAUGAGAUUAAGAUUAAGAGCAUGUGGCCUGGUAAACAAUGGUGACGUACAGGGUCUACCACGAAAAUUUGGAAUUCAAAGUUCCUUUUUGGCCGAAUCCAGAAGGAAAGGGAAGGAGAAUUAUGCUAUAGGUGUCUAUUUGUUGAUAAUGGGUUAAAAGUCCUUAAUAACUUGUAUAAUUCAUAAGGAGGAUGUAAAAUAUGGAGAGAUCAAAAUACCCAUUAAAGUAGUCAUCUUGGUUAACAUAUAAAAUGGAAAGUGAUUGUAGGAAAAAUUUGUGGUCUGCUGUACCAAAAUUAGAUUUUUGGCCAUUGGAUUUACAUAUUUAAUCAUGACCAUUGAUUUGAAUUGGAAAACACUUGCUAAUGGUUUCUUAUUAUAGGAUCGAAUUUUAGAGGAUACAAAUUUAGUAAUAAUUAAGUAAUGGGAUUUUAUAUUAUCAAAAUAUAUAAUUUAUAAUAAAUAAAAAUAAUGUAUUAUCUAAUUUUAUCUUCUUUUUUAUUUUUAUAUCAAUAUUAUUUAAAAAUAUAUAAUAAUAAGGGAGAAUUGUGUUUUGAGGUGAAUUGAGGCUGAUAAUUGACCCAAGAUCCUUAUAUCACCCAUGUUUGAACUCAAAACCUAUUGGUGGAAUAGAAAUUAAGAAGGAUGUUACUUUUCAAAAAUACCCUUGAUUGUCAAAUUAAAAAAUUAACUUGCGACUCUCACCUCUCUCUCUUUCUCUCUCUUUAUUUAGCUCCCCUAUUUUUUUAAAAAUUUUAGAACUUUUUUAUUUCAUAGUUAACCAAUUUAUAAAAUAAAGAUUCUUGUUGUUAAAUAAUUUUAUUGCAAAAUUUAUCUUUUAAAAUUAAAUUUAAAUAAUUUUAUAGUGAAAUUUAUCUUUUUAAAUUAAAUUUUUUAUCCUUAUUUAUUUCAUGUAGUAAACAAAUAUUUUAAAUAAAAAAAUCUACUUCAAUUUAUUUAUGAGAAUUACAUUAAAUGAAAAUGCAUUUUUAAUUGAUGGAUAUUGAAAUUGACUUUUCUUAUAUUUUAUUUAUUUAAUAUAAUAAAUUUAGAAUUCAAAAUAAAACCAACUUCCUUCAUUCAUAAGAAAUAAUUUUUUAUUAAAUGGUUGAUAAAAAAUUAAAAACUAUUAUUAUAUAUUUUUAUAACCAUUCGUUUCUAUCAUCCUAUGCCUUGGAAAAUUAGUUAUUUGUAAAAAAAGAUAAAAUAAUAACUUCUUUUAUUAGAAAGAAAUUUUAUAAUUCAUUUUUAUAAUGGUAAAAAAGAUUUUCUUAAUUAUUUCUGAAUCCAACCAACGACUCUUUUGAGAUUGUCUAGAUUUUAAGAAUUUUGAUAAAUUCAACUAUUAGAAAAAAAAUUUCAAAAUUUUUAUACAAGUAUAUUUUUAAAAUUUAGGUAAAUAAAUUAUAAAUUAAAAAUAAAUAAAUUUAAUAAUUUAAAUUCUUUAAUGAUUUAAAAAAAAUUAAUAAUAGUUUUGAAUUCAAAAAAUUGAUAUAAUUAAUUGCUUAUUAAAUAAAAACAUUUUAGAAUAUUAUAUUAGUAAUUCGGUAGUAAUUGUAUAUAACAAAUGAAAAACUUUACUUAUUUACAUGCUAGAAAAGUUAAACUUUAUUCAUUAUUCAUUCUAAAUAAAAUAUUAUUAAAAAUUAUUAUUAUUUAUUUUUAAGCAAGAAAAUUAAGAAGAUGUUAAUAUUCUUAUAUUUCUAACAUAGACUAAAAUAAUAAUUUUUUUAUAAAAAAUAUAAUUUAUGAUUUUAUUAUAAUUUAUUUGUAAUUACAAAACUAUUUUCAUUUUAAGAUUUGAAUUAAAUUAAAUUUAAUCUAUAUUGUAUAAAUUGAAUUUGCAAUGUUUUUACGAACCCAAAACAAAAAAAAUUAUUUUUAAAAAUAACUUAUUCAAACAAGUUUUUCAUUUUUCAUUUUUAAAAACUUGUCAAGUGUCGUUAUUUUAUAAAACACUAGGGGUAUGUUUGACAACUAUUUUUAAGAAUAGUAUUCUGUUUUCCAAAAAAAAAUAAAAAUUAGGUAAAUAUAUUUUGACAACCAAAAAACUAUUUUUUGUUUUCAGAGAAUGUCUUUUAUUUGUUUUCACUUGUUUUAUAAAAUAUUUCAAAUGAUUAAAAUAAAGCACUAAAUAUAAUAAUUAUUUUUAAAACAUUUCAAGUUCCUAAAAAGACUUUUGUUCUACAAAACACCACAAAAUAGUUUGCAAAAACUGUUCUUAAAAAUUAUUUUUCAAAAUUAUUUUUAAAAAUUAUUAAAUAAGAUCUUAAAAACUGCUUUUUUUUUUCUUUAUCUUCAAAAUAAUUUUUAGAAACCAAUUUAAGAAAACAUUGUAAAAUAGAUAUAUGUUUCCCAAACAAAAAAGUUAAUGAAAUAAUUGAUAAAUGGGAAAUUUGAAAAUCUUUCAAGCAAUUUUUUUUCCCAUAGGAUCAAAGUAGAAACUCUCCCCUUAUCAAAACUUGGAUCAAACAAGUGGACGGAAAAUGAACCUUGAACUUUAUAAAAAAAUAAUUAUUUAAACUUGAGAAAUAAAUUAAAAGACCUUUAUAAAAUAAUUACACCAUAUACAAUAUACAUUUUUCUAGUUAUCUACCAAAUAAAUUAAACAUUCUUAAUUUAUUUUUAUUUUUUGGAAUAUUUAUGAAUUUUCCUUUUGUUUUUUUUUCUUUGAUAAAAUUUAAACUAUGUUUCUAGGAGAGAAAAAAAAAUGUUAAAGUUACCUAAAAUAUAAGUUGAGAGACUUGCAAAACACUUUCAUCGGAUUAAAAUAUCAUCUUAUUUGACCUCCAAAACGUACCUGUCCCAAGCCUUAAUCCAAUUCUUCAUUUUUUUUCUUUAUUUUUAAAAAAGGGGACAAACCAAUGAGGGUGAAUGAUAGGUUGCUCACCCAGUGCCCGACGACUCCUGCAUCAGCAAACAUCGUACUAGUCACCAUUGCCAGCCUGGCUCGUGCUACCCUAGACUUUCUUCGCUUUUCAAUGUUUUAGAAAUAAUUUUAAGUUAGAAGAUAAAUGGGAAGGAAAGGUACGAGGAAGAAAGGGGAAGAAAAGGAAGGGCUAAGUCGAUAAGGGUUUGGAGAAGUGGAUGGAUGGGUAAAAAAGGAGGGUAUUAUGGGUAAUAGACUUGUAAAUUUUAUUAAUUGCAACAUUUCCCUCGACUUAGCCAGUAGAGAACUUUUUAGGGCUUAGAGGGGUGCUACCUCUUAGAGGUACCUUCCCAAUAGGUAACUUGAUCCCUGGACCAAGACUUCUGUUUUCGAAGGCACGCUUUUCCAAAACUAUGAGGUCACUUCUUUAGGGUUUUCUUUCUUAUUUUAUUUUCCCUUUUAAAAUAAAAUAAAAUAAAUGGCGACUCCAAUUUUUCCAAAACUAAUUUUUCACCAAUAAAAAUGAGUCUCGUCAUUGAGUGGGGACGCACGUGAAAAAUGCGGAUCCACAACAGUAUGUUCACACAACCAGCGAGUAAAGAGAGACGAUGCAAGGGGUAGUCGUCCAAGCCCUUGCAUCUCCGGUAACUCCUAAAGCUGUCAUUAACUACAUACACGAAGGUCCAAUAGAUGACAAGCAAGCGACAAAGACGAAGGUUGUUCCGCAAGGCUUCUAUAAGAGAACGGAUUAACUCCGUCCAGUGCACCUUUGUAGAAGGAAGUGCACGUCCAGUUAACGACACAAUCAUCUUCCCUUCAGUAGAUGUUAAUCCGAUGUUGCAACCAUAUGAAGAUGCCUUGAUCCUAACACUGGGGGUAGGCGGAUUUGAUGUGAGGAGAAUCCUAGUUGACUUAGGUAGUUCAAUCGACCUCUUACAAAUGUCGACCUAUAAGCAAAUGAGCUACUCAUCAUCCGCCCUAGAGAACACAGGACGUUUGUUGUCUGAAUUCAAUGGAGCUACAACAACUUCACUUGGCGAUGUUUUGUUGCCCAUCCAAGUUGGGUCGAUCACAUUGAAAGUGCGAUUCUCAGUGGUCAAUGAUUUGUCUUCAUACAAUGCCAUUAUGGAACGUGCAUGACUUCACAAAAUGAAAGUCAUUCCUUCCACAUACCAUCAAAUGAUGAGCUACCUCACAAAAGAAGGACAAGUCGAUCUCCUUGGCAAUCGGCUAGUUGUGCGCCAAUGCUAUCAAGUGACAUUAGAAUCCGGACAUCCAACCAGCAAAGAGACGCAUUUGGAGUCAUCGAAUGUAAGAGAGUAAUAGCAAUUACUGAGCCUGGCAAAGAAAGAUUCAUAUACGACUGAUCCGCUCCAACCAUUGUGCUUCUCACAUGACGCAGAUCCAAUCAUCUACACUAAUUCCCUGCUUACGCAAGAUGAGCUGGAGCUGCUAAGGAAUAUGCUUCAGCGCAAUAAGGACAUCUUCUCCGAAACUCACUCGGAUAUGCUAGGAAUUCAUUAGUCAUGGCUUUCCAUAAGCUCAACGUCUCACCCACCUCACAGCCUAUCCGGAAAAAGGUUUGGCAUUUUCAUUUGGAUAAACAAAAAAAAUCAUUCAAAUGGAAAUUAACAAACUAUUGGAAGUUGGAUUCACAUGUUCUGGAUUGGUUGGUGAACGUGGUGGUAGUCUCGAAGAAAGAUGGGAGGUGACGAGUUUGUGUUAACUACACCAACCUGAAUGACGUCUGCCCAAAGGAUAGUUUUUCCUUGCCCCAAAUAGAUUGAUAGUCGAUGCCACUAUCAAGCAUGGGAUGCUCUCAUUUCUAGACUAUUUUUUCAGAUACCACCAGAUCUCUAUGUACUAGCCAAAUGAGGAGAAGACAACCUUUAUCACACCAUAAGGGUCGUACUAUUACAAAGUCAUGUCGUUAAACUUAAGAAAGUUGGUGCUACUUACCAGAGGCUAAUGACAAAGAUCUUCAAGCCCUUGAUCGGUUGAACUAUGGAAGUUUACAUUGACGACAUUAUUGUAAAGAGUGAAACCCAAGCUAAGCACGUCCAUCACUUGGAAGAAGCAUUUUAUCUAAUGCGGACAUAUAACAUGAAGCUCAAUCUAGCCAAGUGUGCCUUUGGCGUCAGUUCAGGGAAGUUUCUAGGGUUUAUGGUAACCCAAAGAGGAAUUGAAGUUAAUCCGGCUCAAGUGAAAUCCAUCCUCGAAAUGCCUGCUCCAAACAAUGAAAAGGAAUUGCAACGCCUCACAGGAAUUGAAGUUAAUUCGCUUCAUAGCUCAUUUCAUAGACAAACUAAGACCUUUCUUCCUCACACUUAAGAAGUCAAGCACAUUCGGUUGGACAAACGAGUGUAAGCAAUCAUUUGAAGCAGUCAAGUACUACCUCACUAAACCGCCUAUUCUGAGCAACUCCAAGUCUAGUGAAAAACUUUAUAUGUAUCUAGCUAUAUCUAAUUAUGCUAUCAAUGUCGUCCUACUUCGGCAUAUAGAAGACAAAGAAUAGAGAUCUGUCUAUUGUGUGAGCAAAGCAAUGGUAGAUGUUGAGACUUGGUAUUCCCAAGUAGAGUAGACUACUUUGACACAAAAAAAAUGCCGCUUGAAAGCUCCGCCCAUACUUCUAGGCUCAUCAAGUGACCAUACUUACAAACCAACCGCUCAGAAUUACCUUGCACAAGUUGGACCUAUCCAAACUAAUGUUGAAAUAGUCAAUCGAAUUCAGCGAGUAUGGAAUCAAGUAUCAGCCACGAAUUAUUCUUAAAAGGGCAGGUUUUGGUUGACUUUAUAGCUGAACUCUUCCCAAAACAAACACAUAUGACCGACCACCUUGAAGAGCAAUGGUGGACACUUCAUGUAGACGGAGCAUCCAGAGCGUUUAGAUCCGGAGUAGGUUUGGUCUUGUAGUCACUAAUUGGGAAACUAAUAGAGCAAGUUAUCCGUCUCAACUUAUCGACCUCUAACAACGAGACCGAAUAUGAAGUUGUGCUAGUUAUGCUAGACCUCGCUCUAAUAUUAUCCUCAACCAAGUUGGAAAUCAGGAGCGACUCUCAACUAAUUAUCGGAUAGGUUCAACGAGAGUACGAAGCAAAGGAUGAACGUAUGGCUUGAUACCUCGCCAUGAUGGAAGAAUGCCUGAAAAAGCUAGAUGAGUACAAUGAGAAGAGAAUGGAAAGGUAGACACACUAGUCGAAAUAACUGCCACUCUCCCUAUAAAUGAGAUAGUAAUGCUACCUAUCUACCUCAAAGUCGAGCUUUCAAUCACACCUGAGCCAGUGUGCAAUACUAGUUAAACAGACUCAAGUUGGAUUCUCGACAUCAUGAAAUACCUCCAAACAGGAAGUACCAGAAAAUGGGAAGCAAGCACAAAAACUUCAUAUACAAGCAGCACGCUUCACUUUAAUUAAUGAUCAACUCUAUAGACGAUCAUUUGGAGGUUCAUACCUAAAGUGUUUGAGUGAGCUAGAAGCCAAAUAUGUCCUGGCCAAACUCCAUAAGGGCAUAUGCGACAAUCACCCAAGCGGACGAACUUUGGCACACCGCACCUACACGCAAAGAUACUAUUGACCCACCAUGAAGCGAGACACUAAAAGUUAUGUUAAAAGAUGUGAUCGGUGUAAAAAACAUGCUCCUAUUCAUCGUCUACCUUUAGAAGCUCUUAACCCAGUAACAAGUUUUUAGCCAUUUGCAUAGUGGGGAAUGGACAUAGUCGGCCUGUUGCCCAUUAGAGUAACACAAAAGAAGUUUUUGCUCAUUGCAACCGACCACUUCAACAAGUGGGUAAAGGCAGAAGUCUAUGCCAACAUCAAAGACAAAGAUGUCUCCAAGUUCAUUUAGAAAAACAUCGUAUGUCGAUUCAGAAUUCUACGAGCAAUUGUUACAGAUAAUAGGCCACGGUUUGAUAGUGUCAUCUUUUGAAAAUUUUCUCGAAGUUAAAUAUCAAGAAUUUAUACUCAACACCCUACUAUCCACAAAUCAAAGGGCAAGCGAAUGCGACAAGUAAGAUCAUAUUGAAUGCACUGAAAAAAAGAUUGGAAUGAGCAAAAGAAAAAUGGGUGGAUGGGUUGCUCAGAACCUUAUGAGCCUACCAAACAACAUUUAGACGUCCAAUGAGAGCCACUCCUUUUGUCCUUGCUUAUGCGAUGGAAGCCAUCAUUCCAAUCGCAAUUGGCAUGUCUAUUGCCAAAACAACCAUGCAAAUUAAAGGGACAAUGAUGAAGAACUCAUAACACAACUGGAUUGGGUAGAUGAAAAGAGGAGAUGCAACUAUCUGGAUAACUUCUUACCAUCAAAGGAUAAUCACUCAAUACAACAAAAGGGCACGACCACAAUUUUUCUGGCCAAGAUCUUUAGUCCUUAGAAGAAUAUUUGAGAACACAACUAAAGUAGGAGCCAAAAAGUUACUAGCUAAUUGGGAAUAGUUUUAUGUUGUAAUUAAGGCAAGAGACUCAGGGGUGUACCAUCUCCAGACACUAGAUGGUGUACCCAUGCUCCGCCCAUAAAAUGUCACCAACUUGAAGCAACAUUAUCAACAAAAGUUUCUUAUCAAAAUAAUAUAGCAAGAACAAACGGGUAAAACAAACACUUAAAAAAAAUGUAAUGGCAUUGAGGAAAAAAACUUAAAAGAGCAGUCAUUGUAUUUACACGUCUAAAAGUCAAAGCCACAGCCAACUAAAGAAAAGAAAUUAAAAAAAGAUCAAGUCCUCUUGCUAGGGGAAUCGUCCCUAAUAGAAGGUCCAACUCCUUGGGUAGAGCAACCUAAAAACUCGUCCUCAUCAUCAAAAGGAAAGUUGGGAGUAUCAUGGGCAAUGCCAUGCUUCUUCAUACAACAUCGAUAACCAUAGAAGAACAUGUCAUCCACCUAAUUUUGGUAGUCUGCCUCUAAGUCUUCAUUUUGAGAGGCAAACCUUGCCAGAAGAUUUUACAACUCCCGCCUUAACCGGACAGUUUUUUCUUCAGUUUUCUCCUUUUCGGUUGUCAUAAUCGUCUUCUCCUCAACUAGUUGGAAAACCUCAGCUUAAGGCACCUUCUUCUCCUCCUCGCCCUUCUUCAGUAGACAAGAACCUUCCUCAACCAGUUUCUAGGCAGCAGCAGCCUUGCUUUUCGUUGUCUCCAAGCUGGCAAGAAGAUCCUCACUUCCAUCCAUGUUAUGGGCAAUGUAUCUUCUCAUGGUUUUGACUACUUUUAGUCACUGGAGAAUGUGCGCUUGUUGUCACAAGAGGUUAUGAACUCCGGGUACCACCUGGGGAUAAUAGAGAUUAUUAUGAGACGAGAGACUAAAGGAAAAACGAGAAAAGUCACAAGCAAAACCACUUUUGCUAUCUCAAAAGUUGUGUAGUCCUUCAUAUGAAGGAUGCAAUCAAUGGAUGCAUAUGGAGUACCGGACGAAAGCCAUGCCAUGAAAGAUUAGAUAGAAUUCUCAUCCACCUUGACCAGGAUUCGUUGCAUAGCUGGGAAGAGAACCCCCAUGUUCGAUACUAGAAGCUCACUUUCGGUGAAAGAAGAGAUACAACUUAGAAGCUUGGAUAUCUCCUCCCGAUUGGGGACAUAGGUUGUCUUUGGACAGAGAGGAGAAGUAUUCAGACACUCGAAUGAGUCCUCACUGAUUUCUCCUAGGAUGAUAAAAGGUUUCCUUAUUUUGUGAUAAGAAAUGUCAUCAACAAAGGAAGGUUUCUCAUCCAUUUCCGAAAUGACAGCUACAAUAGUAGUCCAUGGUGCUGACUUGGAUGGAGGAUUGGGGGCAGGUUUCGGGUAGGCUUUCUUUGAAGGAGAGAGAUUGAUAGCAAUGGAUUUGGAUAGGUGCUUAUGUUGCCUCUCGUGGAAUUCAACCCUCAAGUUGGAGGCCAUCUCCUCCUCCUGUUUCUCCUCUUCACAAAUAAUAAGGGGCACUAGUCGCUAACCCCUGUUUUUGCUUCGUCAUUGGAAGACGAAGAUGACAGAGAUGGUGAAGAGGAUGAAGCUGACGAUGACGACGGCAAGACAGAAGAUGGAGUUCUCGCCUUUUAGACGGGAUGAGCAGUAGGCCUCUUCUUCUUUUGAGUAGGAGGAUGGAUAGCGGUACUGGAAGAUGGACGACCAAUAGCUGGAGUUUGCCUCAAUGUCCCAUUUUGGCAUUUUUUUUUUCUCCCAUUCCUCUAGACGAGCCUAGUAUGCCUCAAAAUUCGCAUAGAAAUACAAAUCCUUCAACACGAAGCGUUCGUCGGGUACCAAAUACGCAGGAGCUAGUUGAGUAAACACAAGGAUGAUAAACGACUUAGGAUUUUUGAUCAACGCUAGUAGGUUCUUGUCCGAUAAGAAAGCGCUGUGAGCCCGUUCAACAACGUCUAUUUUGAACAACUUGUUAAGUCGGGCGAAUGAAGCCUUUUCCACCCACUUUACAAGGCGUUCCCAUAUUUUCUUACUUGUAUUAAACGAACAUAAAGAUUGUGAAUAGAUUCACAACAAUGAGGAAAUAACAAUAAGAUAUAAAGAAAGUGAUAGAAGCAUGGCCUACUUGGAAUCUCCAAUGAACACUAUGGAGAAAAAACUCCAUUUGGACCCUUAGAUGAACCACUCCAAGGUCCGGAUGCCAAAACAUGCCCCUUGGCCCAGCCUUUGCAUGAAUCUAGAAGACCAAUCACCAAUUGGAGGGAAGGAGGGCAGAUAAGUUAAACCUUUCCUUUUGGCUCAUUUUGACAGUAUAGAUGAAUAAGACUUCCAAUAGGGAAAUAUCCAACUGGAAAAACAUGUCCAAUACACUACACCCUAUCAAUAUCUGAAUAAUAUUUAAAUGAAGAAAAGUUUGAGCGAUUUGUGUGAAAUGGAUAAAUUUUUUGAAGAUGGAAGGAAUGGAAAGACAUAACCUAGCAGCGAAUUGAUCCGUGGUAAAAUACAUCAUGUUAUUCGGAAGGUUAAUAAAUGAUAAAGCCUCGUUGUCUGUUAGCUGAAUUUAGAAUAGUAUCAGGAAUAUGAAAACGAGCUCGGAAUUCUCGCUCAGACAGGACACCAAUUAGACGUUCCAGUCAGAGACGCCCGACUCUAGUAUUUUUUUCGUCCACCCUACUGAGGCUUUCCGUUGGUAGAAGUAAUUCCUCUUCUCUCUAUUAAACUAAGUGGACCUGGGCCAUGUGGAAACCUGCACGAAUUAACGCAGUUAUCAAAACCAACCACCUGACCCAUCUGUCUUUCGGUGUUGCCUCAGUAAUAUAUAAAUAAACCUAGAUGGACUAAUAGUCUGAGUCUAGAUGGACUUGGCUGUGGAAACUUGUAGAGCAAGUUUCUUCGCUAAUGGCAAAGGAAAAUUCGCGCACAUCGCACCAUCCCGAUGAUAACGAAAAUAGUAAGUUGAUGACAUGGGCAUAGUGACAACACCAAAGCAAGAGAGGAGACUAAAAAGCGCUAAAUCUGGACAUCAACAUGUCCAUAUCUUCCCCAAACAAACCAUAAAAGCGAGUAGAGAAACUGAGAAACCCUAAAUCUGGACAACGAUAUGUUCAUUUUCUUUCUAGACUAGCAAAAUCAAAACAAUUCAAGGAACAAUCACAAGCGCAACAAAGGAAUGAACAUGUAGUAGAAAAGUUACCAAAAUCAAGACUGAAAACUCUUUUUAGUGGAGAAGAGAUCCUCCAACAACAAACCAGCCGACAGUGACAAUGAAAGCAAAGGAGAGCAAUAUAAACACAAUGGUGGCGAAAGAGCAAGGUAGGCAAAAGGACUUUAAGGAGGAAAAUGCCAAAAGGUGAGCCAAAUGUGUGGAACCUUAAUAUUUAUAGGGAUAAAAAACCUAGGCAACCUAAAAAACAUGCGGCCUGGCAACACUUGCUAAAGCCCACGAGGGACACGUCGCUUGACAGCCUCCCUCGGUCGAUGUUGACCCCUCAUUGAAGGCCCAAAUAACAUGCAAUCCUUGGCGCUUAAAAACUUGAAAAAACAAAUAACCCAUUCUAUCUCAACUCGUCAGCUACUUUGUUAAACAUGGGGAAACGGAUUAAGGGGCAUUGUGGGAGGCUUCCUUCCGCAUGCGCUCCCCAAACUCAAGACCGUUUGGUCGUCCAAGGUAAACAUAUAAUCCGUCCAAGAUUGAUCCAUUUGGACCAAGAUAAGUUUCGUAUGGCACAAAGGGCAAGAUAUUUCCUUCUUCUUCAAUGCCAGAUAUAAUGGACAAACCCAUCGAGCUUAAGUCUCUAGACAUUGAAUGAAUGGUUAAUCACACUUGAUGCCUGAGCGAUGGACUAGACGACAUUUACAUUCAAAAACCAGUGUCAAUUAGUCAUUACACGCAAUUAGCGACAUUGACAAGCGCAAAUGCACAAUCAACUAUAUGGUCCGAGAUUUUUGCACGAUAACCAACAAAUGACACCAGUUGAUAGCUCUUGCUUGGUAUGAUUGCCCAAUCCACGCUAAGGUAAAGGUGUUGACUGCCUUAUUAGUAAUCCGCCCUGAUGGCAAUCAUCAUCGUAAGAAAGACAUGAAUGCACAAUCAGCAUUGUGAUGAUGGUGUCAUCUACUCUAUAAAAACCCCUCUAAAAGCAUGAAAAAAAGUAUGCGCGUACAUAGUCAUUCAAAAUAGUUGGAUUCAUCCUUGUUAAUUCCUAACUUAAGCUUCAGAGGGGCAUGCUUGGACCACCUGUCCGAACAUCCUUUCAUUGUAGGGAAGAGGUUUGUCUGAAUCCAAUGAAGUUAGACAGAUCUGUAUCUAAUUAACACAACACCAACAAAUAUUAUUCAUUUAUUUUUAAAAAAAAAAAAAAAAACAGGUGGAUGGUUAGAGAAUUUAGGUGGUAGCAAUUAAAACUUCUUGUUUCUUGUUUCUCUCUUUAUCUUUUGUUUGUUGUGGUAAUGUUAAUAAUAUAUGUCAGCAACUAGGGCCCACCAUCAGAGAUUUUUUUUUAAAAUAUUUUAAUUAAAUUUUAGACUAAGAAAUUAUAUACACAACCCUUGGAAAAAUAAUUGCUCAUAUGAUAAAGUUUUUAUUUUAAUUUAUUUAAUUAUAAAAAAUUUAAAUUUUUAUAAAAAUAUUUUUCCCACUAAACAAAGUUGAUGAAUUCUGUAUUAAAAUGAGUCUGAUCAGAUUACAAGUCAAUUUUCAUUGAGUAUUCAAGGUGCCAAUUUCAAACUAUUUCUUCAACUCGUUUUUCCUUCAUCUUUUAUUUUGUGGGUGGGCGGUUUGGAAACGAAGUCAGCACCUGGGGUCUACCAUCUUCUCCAAUCCAAUAACUCAUUCAAGCAUUGGAAUCCAAAGUUGCUUAAUUUUGACCAAACCAGAUUUGAACCAGCUUCACUACCAACAAGUUAUUGGAUUUUCUCAAUACAAAUCAAUCUUUUCCAGAUGGGUGGUUUGAUUGUGGAUCAACUUUCUACCAACUCUCUUGACCCCUUUAAUCUUAACCAAUGCUUUUUUGAUGGAGAGAAAAACCGGCAUCUCUAUUCUAGGUAGAGGAAGGACUAGUUUUAAAUAUACCUAUUAUCUUACUUUCCAUCAAAGUGGACAAUUAGUUAUCAAAAUUUUCUCAUAAAAAUUUAUUAAAUCAUAAUUGAUAUUUAAAACUUAAAUGGCAUGUCAGUCCUUUCAUAAAAAAAUUAAUGUUAACACCCAACAAGUCCUUUUUUUUUUUAUUACACAUAUAACACUUUACCAAAGAUACUAUUAAACAAUUUUAAAAAAAAUAAAAAAUCUCACACUAAGGGUCUAUUUGGCCAUUACAUUUAAAACGGUUUUCUAUUUUUAAAAGUUUUAAAAUUCAUAUCAUUGUUAGGUCAUUAUUCUAUUGAACGGUUUUUAAAAACAAAGUGAAAUAGAAUUCUUUUUAGAGAAUAAAUAAAAAUUGUUUUUAUUAGUUUUUAAAAAUAAAAGGAAAAUACAAAGAAAUAAAAAAUAAAAAAAUAAAGUCAUAAAAAGAAAAUAAGGUAAAAUACAAAAUAUUUUUUCUUUCAUUCAAUCUUCAAAUAUGAUUUGUUUUUAAUUUUUAUUUCAUUUUUCUUAAAUUCUUUUAAAUUUUCAUCAGGCAAAUAGAUUUUAAAUUAAAUAAUAUUUUAUACAUAAAAUUCAUUAAUUUUUAAAAAUAAUUUGAAACUUGAAAACUUAUAUAAUUGCUACUAGAAAAUCAUGGAACUCAAAAUCCAUCUAAUCAAUACUAGAACUUCACAAACUAAACUUCAUUUUGAAUGACUUUGUUAGUAUAUUCUUCACAUAUAAUCAUAUUUUUGUUCUAGUUUUUACCAGACAAAUAAACUUUAAAUUAAACAAGAUUUAAUGCAUUAGAUUCAUUAAUGAGUCUCAUAUUUUUUAAAAAUAUUUAAAACUCCAAUAGUGAUCUAAUUAAUACAAAAAAUUUAUGAAUUAAAUUGAUCUAAAAUAACUCCAUUCUCUUUUACAUAGAAUUGUAUUUUUUCGAUUUUUUUCAUUAGACAAAUAUACUUCAAAUCUUGUUUAAUACAUCAGAUUUAUUAAAAAAAAAAUGUAGUAUUUUUAAAAAUAAUUUAAAACUCAAAUAUUAAUUCAAUUAACAUAAGAAAGUUAUGGAUACAAAUUAUUCAAAUUGACUAUUGUUUCUUUUCUACAUAGAAUCAUAUUUUCCAAUUUCUUUUCUUGAUCAAUAGAAUACUCUAAAUCAAACAAGUUAAUGUGUCACAUUUAUUAGCAAGUCUAGUAAGUUUUAAAAAUAAUUCAAGACUCAAAUAGUACUCCAAUUAAUAUAAAAAAUUUAUGGACAAAAAUUGGUCUAAAAUAAAUAUAUUGUUUUUUUUUUUUGCACAUAAUUAUUAUUUUUUUAUAAUUUUUCUUACUAGAGAAAUGAACUUCAAAUCAAACAAGACCUUGCAUUGAAUUUAUCAAUGAGUUUAAUAAUUUUUAAAAAUAAUUUGAAAUUCAAAAUAUAUAUCUAAUGACUAUAAAAUAAUAAUAGACCAAAACUAAUGCAUUAUGAGUCAUAACUUAACUAUUUUCCUAUAAAAAUGACUAUAUUUUUAGAAUUUUUCGCUAAGUAAAUGAAUUCUAAAUUAAGUGAGACAUAACUAGUACUUUAAAUUAUUUAAUAAAUCUUCUAAUUUUUAAGAAUAAUUUGGAAUUCAAAAAAGUAAUCUAAUUAAUUACAUACAAAAUCAAAAGUAUGCAUACUUUGUCUAUAAUAAAUAUGCUUUUAUGAAGAUAUUAAGAUUUAUAUUUUUAUAGCAUGUAUUAGCAUAGCAUAUUUUUUGUAUGAACAGUGAAGGGUAGCCUUAAGGGGCACUGAAGACGGUUUUGAAAUUGAUAAGCUUUGAUCUAAUUAAGGUGAUCAAAUUGUGAAGGCUAGCUCUCUGUCCCUGGAAGACAGCAACAAAGACAUAUACUUAGGCUAAUCUACUUCAUGGAACAUUUUAAUUACCUUUCAUUGGCUUGGACUAGUUCAUCUCUUGCAGCCAAUGCCUAUCUCCUUAUAUUUGCCAAAAUCAGCUUCUCUCGUCUAGCCGGCAUUGUUAAAGAUAAGCAACUUGGACUAAUUCAUCUCUUGCAGUUGCAGCCAAUGCUUUUCUCCACUUGCAUGCACAUUAAAUUAGAGACGACUUAAUUCCCAGGUCUGUUGAAGAUAAGCAACUUGCCUUCCCUUAACAAUUAUUAUAGGCCGACCUACCUUCAUCCACCACCCCCACUUUCCAUUUAUUUGCCUUUACUUUCAUAUUCUUACCCCAUAAGAUUAAGAUUAAGAGCAUGUGGCCUGGUAAACAAUGGUGACGUACAGGGUCUACCAUGAAAAUUUGGAAUUCAAAGUUCCUUUUUGCUGCAUCCAGAAGGAAAGGGAGGGAGAAUUAUGCUUUAGGAGUCUAUUUGUUGAUAAUGGGUUAAAAGUCCUUAAUAACUUGUAUAAUUGAUAAGAAGGAUGUAAAAUAUGGAGAGACCAAAAUACCCAUUAAAGUAAUCAUCUUGGUUAACAUUUUAUAUUGUAGGAAAAAUUUGUGGUCUGCUGUACCAAAAUUAGAUUUUUGACCAUUGGAUUUACAUAUUUAAUCAUGACCAUUGAUUUGAAUUGGAAAACAUUUGCUACCGGUUUCUUAUUGGAGGAUCCAAUUUUAGAGGAUACAAAUUUAGUAAUAAUUAAGUAAUUGCAUUUUAGAUUAUUAAAAUAUAUAACUUAUAAUAAAUAAAAAUAAUGUAUUAUCUAAUUUUAUCUUCCUUUUUAUUUUUAUAUCAAUAUUAUUUAAAAUAUAUAAUAAUAAGGGAGAAUUGUGUUUUGAGGUAAGUUGAGACUGAUAAUUAACCAAGAUCCUCACAUCACCCGUAUAUGAACUCAAAACCUAAUGAUGGAAUAGAAAUUGAGGAGAAGGAUGUCGUUACUUUCCAAAAAUCCUCAAAAUACCCUUGACUGUCAAAUUAAAAAAAUUAACGUGCUACUCUCACCUCUCUCUCAUUCUCUCUCUCUCUUUCUCUCUCUUUAUUUAGCUCCCCUAUUUUUUAAAAAAUUUAGAACUUUUUUAUUUCAUAUUUAACCAAUUUAUAAAAUAAAGAUUCUUGUUGUUAAAUAAUUUUAUUGCAAAAUUUAUCUUUUAAACAAAUAUUUUAAAUAAAAAAAGUCUACUUCAAUUUAUUUAUGAGAAUUACAUUAAAUCAAAAUGCAUUUUUAAUUGAUGGAUAUUGAAAUUCAUUUUUCUUAAAUUUUAUUUUUUAAAUAUAAUAAAUUUAGAAUUCAAAAUAAAACCAACUUCCUUAAUUCAUAAGAAAUAAUUUUUUAUUAAAUGGUUGAUAAAAGAUUAAAAACUAUUAUUAUAUAUUUUUAUAACCAUUGGUUUCGAUCAUCCUUUGCCUUGGAAAAUUAGUUAUUUGUACAAAAAGAUAAAAUAAUAACUUAUUUUAUUAGAAAGAAAUUUUAUAAUUCAUUUUUAUAACGGUAAAAAAGAUUUUCUUAAUUAUUUCUGAAUCCAACCAACGAACUCUUUUGAGAUUCUCUAGAUUUUAAGAAUUUUGAUACAUUCAACUAUUAGAAAAAGAAUUUCAAAAUUUUUAUAAAAAUAUAUUUUUUAAAUUUAGGUAAAUAAAUUAUAAAUUAAGAAAGAUAUAAUCAAUAAUUUAAAUUCUUUAAUGAUUUAAAAAGAUAUUAAUAAUAGUUUUGAAUUCAAAAAAUUGAUAUAAUUAAUUUUUAUUAAAUCAAAAUAUUUUAGAAUAUUAUAUUAGUAAUUCGUUACUAAAUGCAUAUUGCAAAUGAAAAACUUUACUUAUUUACAUGUUAAAAAAGUUGAACUUUAUUCAUUAUUCAUUCUAAAUAAAAUAUUAUUAAAAAUUAUUAUUAUUUAUUUUUGAGCAAGACAAUUAAGAAGAUGUUAAUAUUCUUAUAUUUCUAACAUAGACUAAAAUAAUAAUUUUUUUUAUAAACAAUAUAAUUUAUGAUUUUAUUAUAAUUUAUUUGUAAUUAUAAAACUAUUUUCAUUUUAAAAUUUGAAUUAAAUUAAAUUUAAUCUAUAUUAUAUAAAUUGAAAUUGCAAUGUUUUUACAAAACCAAAACAAAAAACAUAUUUUUAAAAAUAACUUAUUCAAACAAGUUUUUCAUUUUUCAUUUUUAAAAACUUGUCAAGCAUAGUUGUUUUAUAAAACAUUAGGGGUUUGAUUGACAACUAUUUUUAAGAAUAGUAUUCUGUUUUCCAAAACAAACCAAAAAAAUCAAAAAUAUAUAUUUUGACUACCAAAAAACUAUUUUUUGUUUUUAGAGAAUGUCUUUUAGCUGUUUUCACUUGUUUUAUAAAAUAUGUCGCAUGAUUAAAAAUAAAUCACUAAAUAUAAAAAUGAUUUUUAAAACACAUUUAAAACAUGUCAAGUUCCUAAAAAGACUUUUGUUCUACAAAAUCUUAUAGAACAUUUUGCAAAAACUGUUCUUAAAAAUUAUUUUUCAUAACUAUUUUAAAAAAUUACUAAAUAUGAUCUAAAAAACAAUGUUUUUUUUCUUUAUCUUCAAAAUAAUUUUUAGAAACCAAUUUAAGACAACAUGGUAAAACAAAUAUAUGUUUCCCAAACAAAAAAGUUGAUGAAGUAAUUGAUAAAUGGGAAAUUUGAAAAUCUUUCAAGCAAUUUUUCUUUUUCCAUAGGAUCAAAGUAAAAACUCUUCCCUUAUCAGAACUUGGAUCACACAAGUUGAUGGAAAAUGAACCUUGAACUUUAUAAAAAAAUAAUUAUUUAAACUUGAGAAAGAAAUUAAAAGACCUUUAUAAAAUAAUUACACCAUAUACAAUAUACAUUUUUCUAGUUGUCUGUCAAAUAAAAUUAACAUUCUUAAUUUAUUUUUAUUUUUUGAAAUAUUUAUGAAUUUUCCUUUUGUUUUUUUUUCUUUGAUAAAAUUUAAACUAUGUUCCUAGGAGAGAAAAAAAUUGUUAAAGUUACAUAAAAUAUAAGUUGAGACACUUGUAAAACACUUUCAUCGGAUUAAAAUAUCAUCUUCUUUGACCUCCAAAACGUACCUGUCUCAAGCCUUAAUCCAAUUCUUCUUUUUUUUUUCUUUUUUUUUUUAAAUGGGACAAACCAAUGAGGGUGAAUGAUAGGUUGCUCACCCAAUGCCCGACGACUCCUGCAUCAAUAGGCGUCGUAACAAUCACCAUUGCCAGCCUAGUCCUGGCAAUGGUGACAAGGGUUUGGAGAAGUGGAUGGAUGGGUAGAAAAGGAAGGUAUUAUGGGUAUUAGACUUAUAAAUUUUAUUUAUUUAUUUAAAAAAAAAAAACAGGUGGAUGAUUACAGAAUUUGUGUGGUCGCAAUUAAAACUAGGACCCACCAUCAUUUCAUUCUCCAUACCUUGGAGAAGGGUGCUGCCCUUAAUCUUUCAAUUAAAUUUUAGACUGAGAAAUUAUAUACAGAAUCUUGGAAAAUAAUUGCUCAUAUGAAAAAAAAAUUAUUUUAACUAAUUAGUUUAAUAAUAAAAAAAAUAUUUAAAGUUUUAUAAAAUUAUUUUUCCUACUAAACAAAGUUGAUGAAUGUAUAGAAAUGAGUCUGAUGUUUAUAAUCAAUUUUCAUAGAUUAUUCAAGGGGCCAAUUGCCAACUAAUUCUUCUAAAUGUAAGUAAAUUAUAUGUUUAUUUUCUACCCGUUUUUUCUCCUUCUAUUACUUUGUGGGUGGGUGGGUGGUCACUGGUUUGUAAACAAAGUCAGCACCUGGGCUCAACCAUCUUCUCUAAUAAUUCAUUCUAGCGUUGGAAUCCAGACUUGCUUUUGGCCAAACCAGAACUGAGCCAGCUUCGCUACCAAGAAAUUAUUGCAUUUUCUCAAUACAAACCAAUCUUUUCCACUUUGGUGGUUUGAUUUUGGAUCGCUUACCUUCAUUUUUCCUUGAUUCAUCACUCACUUUUCUCUACAAACCAACAGACAUGGCUGGGGCUUUAGUUGGGGGAGCUUUCCUCUCCGCUUCUCUUCAAGUUCUAUUUGACAGGUUGGCUUCUCGCGAGGUUGUGAGCUUCAUCCGGGGGAAGAAGCUCAGUGAUGCGCUCCUGAAGAAGUUGGAAAGGAAGUUGCUGGUCGUCCAUGCAGUGCUCAACGAUGCUGAGGUCAAACAAUUUACAGAUCCAUAUGUGAAGAAGUGGCUGGUCUUGCUUAAAGAGGCUGUGUAUGAUGCGGAGGACAUAUUGGAUGAGAUCGCCACAGAGGCUUUGAGACAUAAGAUGGAAGCUGCGGAGUCCCAAACCAGCACAAGUCAGGUGGGUAACAUCAUGGACAUGUCUACCUGGGUUCAUGCCCCAUUUGACAGUCAGAGCAUAGAAAAGAGGGUGGAGGAGAUCAUUGAUAGACUUGAAGAUAUGGCACGAGACAGAGCCGUCCUUGGGUUGAAAGAAGGUGUUGGCGAGAAACUGUCACAAAGGUGGCCUUCUACUUCUUUGGUGGAUGAAUCUCUUGUCUAUGGCAGGGAUGAUGAAAAACAGAAGAUGAUUGAACAGGUGUUGUCUGAUAAUGCAAGGAGGGAUGAGAUAGGUGUGAUUUCCAUAGUGGGCAUGGGCGGCCUUGGCAAGACCACACUUGCUCAGCUUCUAUAUAAUGACCCAAGGGUGAUGGAACACUUCGAUUUGAAGGCAUGGGUUUGUGUUUCCGAAGAAUUUGAUCCUAUUAGAGUUACAAAAACAAUUCUGGAGGAGAUUACUUCAUCCACUUUCGAGACAAAUAACCUAAAUCAGCUUCAAGUUAAACUGAAAGAGAGAAUUAAUACGAAGAAAUUUCUACUUGUCUUGGAUGAUGUUUGGAACGAGGACUCUAGUAACUGGGCUAUGCUACAAACUCCACUCAAAGGCGGGGCAAAGGGAAGCAAGAUUGUUGUAACGACCCGCAGCACCAAUGUUGCAGCUGUUAUGCGCGCUGUUUAUUCUCAUUGUCUUGGUGAACUAUCCUCUGAAGAUUCCUGGUCUCUGUUUAGAAAACUCGCAUUUGAAAAUGGAGACUCGAGUGCGUAUCCACAACUAGAAGCAAUUGGUAAGAAGAUUGUGGACAAGUGCCAAGGUUUGCCACUAGCUGUAAAAGCAGUGGGGGGCCUUUUACAUUCUGAGGUUGAAGCGAGGAAAUGGGAUGAUAUACUAAACAGCCAAAUAUGGGAUUUGUCCACUGAUACAGUUCUUCCUGCAUUGAGAUUGAGUUACAAUUAUCUGCCUUCACAUCUAAAGCAAUGUUUUGCUUAUUGCUCAAUUUUUCCCAAGGACUACGAAUUGGAGAAAGAGAAGCUAAUUUUGUUAUGGAUGGCUGAAGGUCUUUUACAAGAAUCAAAAGGCAAGAGAAGAAUGGAAGAGGUAGGUGACUUGUACUUUCACGAGCUUUUAUCGAAGUCGUUUUUUCAAAAUUCAGUUUGGAAAAAGAAGACACACUUUGUAAUGCAUGACCUAAUUCAUGACUUGGCUCAACUGGUGUCUGGAGAAUUUUCUGUUAGUUUGGAGGAUGGUCGGGUAUGCCAAAUCUCAGAAAAGACUCGUCAUUUAUCAUAUUUUCCGAGAGAAUAUAAUAGCUUUGAUAGAUAUGGAACACUUUCUGAAUUUAAGUGUUUGCGAACAUUUUUACCAUUGAGGGUUUACAUGUUUGGCUACUUAAGUAAUAGAGUUUUACACAAUCUAUUAUCGGAAAUUAGGUGCUUGCGGGUGUUGUGUUUGCGUGGCUAUGGUAUUGUUAAUUUGCCCCAUUCAAUUGGCAAGUUACAACAUUUGCGCUACUUGGAUCUCUCUUAUGCUUUGAUUGAAAAAUUACCUACAUCAAUAUGUACUUUGUACAAUUUACAAACAUUGAUAUUGUCAAUGUGUUCGAAUCUAUAUGAAUUGCCUUCAAGAAUCGAAAAUUUGAUUAAUUUGUGUUAUCUUGACAUUCAUCGUACCCCACUAAGAGAGAUGCCAAGUCAUAUUGGCCAUUUAAAAUGUUUGCAAAACUUGAGUGAUUUCAUUGUGGGGCAAAAGAGCAGGUCGGGGAUUGGAGAAUUGAAGGAACUUUCAGAUAUAAAGGGAACACUUAGAAUUUCAAAGUUGCAGAAUGUGAAAUGUGGCAGGGAUGCAAGAGAAGCCAAUUUGAAGGACAAGAUGUACAUGGAGGAGUUAGUGUUGGAUUGGGAUUGGAGAGCAGAUGAUAUUAUACAAGAUGGAGACAUAAUUGAUAAUCUUCGGCCACAUACAAACCUAAAGAGACUCUCUAUUAAUCGUUUUGGUGGUUCGAGAUUUCCAACAUGGGUAGCAAAUCCUUUUUUCUCUAAUCUCCAGACCCUAGAGCUUUGGAAAUGUAAAAAUUGCUUAUCAUUGCCACCACUUGGGCAGCUACCCUCUCUUGAACACUUACGGAUCUCAGGAAUGAAUGGAAUAGAGAGGGUGGGUAGUGAGUUUUAUCAUUAUGGGAAUGCUUCUUCCUCCAUCGUAGUUAAGCCUUCCUUCCCAUCCUUACAAACUCUAAUAUUUGAGUGCAUGCAUAAUUGGGAGAAAUGGUUGUAUUGUGGAUGCAGACGUGGAGAAUUCCCUCGUCUCCAGGAGCUUUAUAUAAUCAACUGUCCAAAACUCACUGGGAAAUUACCAAAACAGCUUCGAUCCUUGAAGAAACUUGAAAUUGUUGGAUGUCCGCAGCUGCUUGUGCCUUCACUCAGAGUCCCUGCAAUCAGUGAAUUGACGAUGGUCGAUUGUGGUAAAUUACAGUUGAAAAGGCCAGCUAGUGGCUUCACUGCUCUUCAAUUCUCACGCGUUAAAAUUUCAAACAUCUCUCAGUGGAAGCAACUACCAGUGGGAGUGCAUAGGCUCUCAAUUACAGAAUGUGAUUCUGUGAAGACUCUAAUAGAAGAGGAACCGCUCCAGAGCAAAACUUGUCUUCUCAAAUAUUUGGAAAUCACAUAUUGUUGUUUGUCUAGAUCCUUGCGCAGAGUUGGUUUACCCACUAAUGCAUUGGAAUCACUAAAAAUCUCUCACUGUUCCAAGCUAGAGUUUCUCCUAUCUGUGUUGUUGAGAUGCCACCACCCUUUCCUAAAAAAUAUACACAUCAGAGAUAACACCUGUGAUUCUCUUUCAUUAUCCUUCUCCUUAAGCAUCUUCCCAAGAUUGCGUUGUUUUGAAAUCAGUAAGCUUCAGGGGCUUGAAUUCCUCUAUAUCUCCAUUUCAGAGGGGGAUCCCACAUCUCUUAAUUAUUUGAAUAUCUAUGAGUGCCCUGAUCUUGUAUAUAUUGAAUUGCCGGCUCUCGACUCAGCAAGGUAUGAGAUCUCCAGAUGCUUGAAGCUCAAGUUAUUGAAGCACACCCU